GAGUUUGAUCAUGGCUCAGAUUGAACGCUGGCGGCAUGCCUUACACAUGCAAGUCGAACGGCAGCACGGGAGCAAUCCUGGUGGCGAGUGGCGAACGGGUGAGUAAUACAUCGGAACGUGUCCUGUAGUGGGGGAUAGCCCGGCGAAAGCCGGAUUAAUACCGCAUACGAUCUGUGGAUGAAAGCGGGGGCUCCUUCGGGACCUCGCGCUACAGGGGCGGCCGAUGGCAGAUUAGCUAGUUGGUGGGGUAAAGGCCUACCAAGGCGACGAUCUGUAGCUGGUCUGAGAGGACGACCAGCCACACUGGGACUGAGACACGGCCCAGACUCCUACGGGAGGCAGCAGUGGGGAAUUUUGGACAAUGGGCGAAAGCCUGAUCCAGCAAUGCCGCGUGUGUGAAGAAGGCCUUCGGGUUGUAAAGCACUUUUGUCCGGAAAGAAAACCUCGUGGUUAAUACCCGUGGGGGAUGACGGUACCGGAAGAAUAAGCACCGGCUAACUACGUGCCAGCAGCCGCGGUAAUACGUAGGGUGCAAGCGUUAAUCGGAAUUACUGGGCGUAAAGCGUGCGCAGGCGGUUCGCUAAGACAGAUGUGAAAUCCCCGGGCUUAACCUGGGAACUGCAUUUGUGACUGGCGGGCUAGAGUAUGGCAGAGGGGGGUAGAAUUCCACGUGUAGCAGUGAAAUGCGUAGAGAUGUGGAGGAAUACCGAUGGCGAAGGCAGCCCCCUGGGCCAAUACUGACGCUCAUGCACGAAAGCGUGG
rnacentral:rRNA from 1 species